ensembl:lncRNA
AGCUUAUCCACUCCAGAGCAGGAAUGGGAGGGGGGAUGAGGGAAUAGUUUUAAUGGUUCUUUGGCAAGUUAGUUGUGCAGUUUCCUGUUGUUCUGGGCCUUCUUUGAAGGCUUAGUACAUUUUGUGAAGUUGUAGGGAGAAAAAAGAUGUCAUUGAAGAAGAUAAUUGAAAGCACAACAAAUCCAUUGAGCUGAGUGGCUGAGGUGUUUUGUGCUUGAAUCCAGCUGGAAGCCCUGGAACAUUAGAAGGAUAUGCCAUAGGAAAAGAGGACUACUUGAGGAGCAUCUGGAGAGAUGGGCUUUAUCUGCCCUCUUCCCUAUUUGUGCUUAUUAGAGAUGAAACUGUAGUGCAGCACGAUUAAAUUAUGCAUAUAAAGAAGAGUCCACAAACAAGAAAACAUAAGCAAUGUGGGAAGGAACAGAACUGCAAAGAGAACGAGAGGAGCGAAACUGAACAGGAUGCCAAGCUGCAAAAGACAUUUCAACAGCACCUAAUUAAAACCGUUCACAUUUGCAACAGACAGAAGAAACCGUAGACACAGCAGCAGUGGCAAGGCUGAAAAUCCAGCACGAUACCUUUGGUAGCAGGAAGAGCUGACAACCAUUUUUCUCGUGACCUGCUAUGUUCACCACUGGUUUGCCUGGUUUCAGCUGUGUAGCAGAGCAGCACAAGCUUGGAAGUGGAAUAAUCAUGACAAAUGAGCCCUCAGCCAUCUUUCAAAGAGAACAAAUCAAAUUUCUAUUCGUGUGACAAAAACACAGGAGAUGAAAAAGCAAGAGGAAGAAGCUACGCUGUGCUCUGCUUGUCUCUGUCUAAGCAAAAUCACUUUAAUAAUUGGUGAACACGGUACGAAAAAUAACAAAUAACAUUUGAAAGGGAUGGUGUGUCUGAGAAGGAAAACACGAAGGGUUCUUUUCUUGUAGAGGAGCCUUUGCUUUCAGAAAGAGCUGGUAAGGUGAAAAUGGAGCUUUCUUGCUGGAGAGAGGCUGAUUUAUGGGUACAUGAGGAACCUUGCCAUUCGGAGAUAAGAUAUCUAAGUGCUUCGUUAACGAUGACUGAUGAAGACGCAGUCAGAACCGUAAGAAGGAGCUCUUCAUUAAGUAGAUCAGGAGCUGUCAGAGGCCUUUGGCAACCCACCCUCCUGAGAUUGGGUCAUCCUCUCCUUGUCCACCCGCGAUGUUCUAUGGAGAUGUCAUAAAUCACGUCUACGGUCCGUAAAGAAUUAACACCAGAUCAAAGGUGUGUGUCGAGCGGUCCUAUGCUGGGAGGUCAUUUGUUCUUCCCUUCUGCCUGGAUAGGACUAAAAUAGUCAUCCUUGCAUCAGUGGGUGGCUGCUGGCAGCGGAGACAAGUGGCCCAGGCACGUGGUUGACUCAAUGAAGUCAUUUUGCAGGGGCAAUGGGAACGGGAAGAGCAGAAUCCCCCCCGGACCGCCUCCUCCUCCGGGAAGUGACUGAUGAGCCUGGCAGCCUCUGAACAAAUAUUUCCGAUGCAGAGAAUUCACUUGUCAGCUCGGAGGAGCCCCGAGAGGAAAUUUCCAAAGCAAAUCUGUCGGAGAUAAUGACACCACACGAGGAAGCCCUCUUUAGGAGGAACGUCUUUGGAAGACGUGGUGUGUCUGAAAAUACCAUGCGUCUUGCUGUUGAUGAGCUAAAAUUCAGGCAACCGUGGCUGGGUUCUUAACCCACGAGCUGUAGCAGAUGAAGCACGAGGAGGAGUGAUUCAGUUUUUUACCUUCCUGGAUGCUUCCUUGGUCAACCAGAUGUGUUUUUUCUACAUCAGAAACCUCUCCUCAGGCCCGAGACACCUUGCUGUGCUCUGCCUUGCCAGGAUUACAAAGCAGGGAUUUUCUGUGCAUCUGGAUGGUUGUGUAAUUGCCUAAGAGAGUGAAGCCCCAUCUCAGCUGAAACCUCUUAGCUCUGCUGCUGAGAUAAAAAGCAAUUAACAGUAACCGUAACCAGAAACAUUUUUAGUGUGAAGACGGGCGGAGAAUGGCAAAUAGAUACAUCAACAAAGCUGUUUUUGCCUUGUACUUUGCUGUUUGCAAUCAAUGGGUCAUUAAUUUUUAUGCGGCUACCAUGUAUUUAUAAGCAGUUUGGGAAUCUGGAACUUAUUACAUAUGACAGUGGCUUUGAUUACGUUGGCUGCUCUGCGUUACCCGUGAUCCUUUGGUUUCAAAGUCACCCCAAAGGACACAGCAGGCAGAAUUGUGCACUGGGGAAGCCCUGGUAUCCGAAAGCAACCUGCCUGCAGGCUGUGCCCUGCUGGUUGGAUCUCUCAAAUAUGUUUCAUCCACAUGGGGCUGGAUUUGUGCAGCCAUUGCCCCUCUGAUGGCUCAUUGCCAUGCAUGCUUAGUAGAUGUUACGCAGCUAGUUCUUCUAAGUAAGUGGUAUUUUAUCCUGUCAGAUAUGAAAUUGGCUCAGGUCAGAAACUUCACGCUGAGCAAGACAGUCUUUGUGGCUUUCACUAAUUAAAUCUAGGGCAGACAACCAGUGGAUUCUUCAGCUGAGCAAGAGUGACCACUUUGACUUCUUUCCUGGAGGUUUUCUGACUCAUUACCUUGUGUUUCAGUUCUCUGAGAAGGAAAAAAGCUCUAAAGUAUGUUGGAGAACUUGAAUUUCACUUGGCAAGUGGAUUAUUUUACAUCAAGUAAGGUUUUCUUUCCAUGCAAAGUCACAGAGGCAUCAGUAUGGGACAUAUGUGUGAAACAAUGCGAAGAAUGCUAGUUGGAUUCAUGUAAGUGAUGCUUUUUUAACCUGAAUAACUGCAGAGUUCCCAGUUAGCAAAUAUGGAGAUGUCAAGAACGCUGCUGCACUCAGCACCAGAGCAGUGCUUCACUUAUCAGAUAUUUUUAAGCAGUCUCUCCUGGUUUGUUUUGUAUUAGGCUGUGUCUCCAGAUAAUCUAUCAGCG